CAGUAGCCACGGUAAUACGGAGGGGGCUAGCGUUGUUCGGAAUUACUGGGCGUAAAGCGUACGUAGGCGGCUUUGUAAGUUAGAGGUGAAAGCCUGGUGCUCAACACCAGAACUGCCUUUAAGACUGCAUCGCUUGAACGUCGGAGAGGUGAGUGGAAUUCCGAGUGUAGAGGUGAAAUUCGUAGAUAUUCGGAAGAACACCAGUGGCGAAGGCGGCUCACUGGACGACUGUUGACGCUGAGGUACGAAAGCGUGGGGAGCAAACAGGAUUAGAUACCCCAGUAGUCCCUGUCUCUUAUAC
rnacentral:rRNA from 1 species